AGUCACUUGUGUUCUUUUGGCUUUUGCCUUGGGAACGUCGGUGUUUUUUUUUGUUUUGUUUUGUUUUUUAAUUAAAUACUGUGUGGCUGAAUGUCCAUGUGAGCUUUAUUCGGACAUGGGGGUGUGUGUGGCCGCUGUGUGUCGGUCCUAGUGGAGGCUGCAGUGUGAUGCUGCUCCUCUCCUGGCUCCUGCUGUCCCCGGCCCUGCCUCUGGGGCGCACGACGCCAAGUCUGCCCCCCUGCCCUCUGCCUCCUCUCCAACCAGCAAAAUAUGUUGAACCAAACCAAUAUCGAUGUCAAGAUUAAACAGAGAUCAUAGCGUUUUAGUUGGAAAAGUAAUUUGCCAUCGGCAGUGGUCUUUGAUGCCAUCCAUUUGUCAGUGGGGUUUGAUAACAAGUCCAACCCUCUAAUUAAUGCCAUUAGUAUUGGAAUUGCAAUCAAAUGGCGACAUGAAAGCUUCUUGGGGACAUAAAAGCAGUUUUCAUUCAUUUGAUCUGGUGGUAAGGACAAGAUCAAUGUCCACAUCCAGUCACAGGACUCGGCUUACAGCAGUAGCUACGGCGGUGUGAUUUUCAUGUUUAUGGUUAAAACGGUUUCAUAUUUAGACAGGGCUUAUAGGGUGUUAAAAUAGUGUGAGUUCACUCCAACACGAACAGUGCUCACAUUGUGAAAGGGCCGUGUACAAGGCGUAGCAUCUAGACUCCUCUUAAUCCGUCCUCAAUAAAGCUGACAUAAUGAUCCUAAGCCGCCUUUCUACAAAAUCAUUCAGGAAUUCUAAACUUUUCCUUCCCUCACCCACAUUUGCACAUUCUCCGCCGCUGCCCACAUAGACCACCGACCUCAACCUUGGAGGGACAUUUGGCAGAGGCUGGUCAGAAAGACAGCACACACCUCCUGGCAAACACUGGAGAGACUCAUGUGGCUGCUCCUCCAACCUGGACUCAUCUCAACAAUGCACAAGAUCCUGAAGCAGUGACCGAGCUGAGAGCAUGCAGAGUCCGGUCACCGGGAUGUCAGCGCUCCAGUUUGGGACCGAGCAUUGCAGGCUGCAGGUCCUCUGUUCAUUCAAUGGUCACUUUCCUCAAGACCGGGAUGGAAAUCCGACAGCGGCCCCUGUAAGUUAAGUAUAAGUUAAUCACACAAAUGCUUUUCUGUUCAUGUCCAGUCCGGAAUUGCGGGUCUUUUUCAAGCACUUUUAUGAAAAAAUAUAUUCAAGGCUUUUAACCUCCGCGCAGACAUGGUUGAAAUUGCAGUUACUGACUCUCUCUCGAAUAAAAAAUGCCGGUUUUCAAUGUGGUAAUUUCCCUCCUUUUUUUAUUGACCGUGCACCGUAUGGAUAUGUGCAGAACAGAUGCGUGAUGCUGCCGUGACGGGGCGAACCCCUCCGUCCCAUUCUGCUCCGGCCAGAGUACGGACACCAACUGCGUCCACACUGUAAAAAAUAUCCACGCAUUCAAUACUGUGCAAGUUUUAAUGGCACUUUUUCCAGUAAAAGUCCCAAUCAUUCAGAGUUAGGGCUUUCAUUUAUUUGCAUCAGAUUUGUUCUUUAUAUGGAUUUGCGUUAUGUUGUGAUUUAUAGAUUAGUAGGCUACAGAAAAGUUUAAAUGUGCAUAGUCCACAUCUGGUUUUCUUUGAGAUGCCAUGCUAAGACUACACAACUCCUGCUACUGCUGGGUUAAAUUUAGUGAAAUUAUCUAACAGCUACAAAUUAUUGCUUUGUGUCGGAAAAAGACACGAUACAGGCUGAGAGUAAAUGACUUGCGACGUGCGUCAUUUUUUGCAGCGCUCUCUCCUAUUAGGUUGGGCAAAGAUAUUUUUUCAUUUUCUUCUUUUGUCGUCGUGAAUUCGUGUCGUUUUUUCUCAUGGGACUUAACACAAUUAAAGUAUAAAAUUAAUCAAACUAUUAAAUAAGUUACUUUGCGACUUUGUGCAAAGUUAUGCCAAUUCUCUGCGUCUGUAGCCUAUAUUGUCGCAUUCGCAGGUGCAGCAUCCUGUCCUCGUUUUAACAUAAUAUUUACAAAAGUCAAAAAUGAUUAUUAAAAAAACGCGAUUGGUGACUGAAUCUAUAUUUUUUUCUGGAAAAAAGUGCAAUAAUGAUCUUCUGAAUAUGGCGCCAACUUUAACAGAAAUUGUCUUUCAAAAGUUUUUUAACAUCUCUCCCUCACUCUCUUCCCCUCUCCCCCUGUCUCCCUCCUUUCUUUUAUUGUUUUUAUUGUGUGGUCUCAUUAGGGGGACUUCCUGGCAGGGCUGGGAGCUUGUAUCGGAGCUGUCCAAUCAGUGUAUUUACACGGGUUGUUAGCGACAGUUAAUGAGGGCUCCUCCCCGGGCCGGUAGAGAAAGGCGCCUCAACAUUAAGAUUUACCUUGUGUCAACUCGUUACUUCUAAUGAACCUCCAUGCAAAAGCCUCCUCGUUCUCAAUGGAGCCGUGCUCCCGGAUCUUGUGUGUGAGACCUUGGAAGAGUGGCGCUGCAAGCCGGCCUCCCUCUCCCCCUUUUCUUCCGCUCACCCUUGGGAAGAGUUGCUUUUUUUCCUGCAGGUCCGAGCUCUCUGAUGCAUGCAUGUGUGCAUUUGUGUGUGUGUGUGUUGAAUUUAGCCUAUAUAUUUUUUUUUAAGUGUAUGAAAAUCACUUUUACGCAAAGUAUAGGCUAUUUUCAUUUAUCAGAAUGAUAUUAACGCAUGCAUAUUUGAAGAUCUGUUAAAAAAAAAAAAAAAAACCCUGAACAUAUGCAUUAAAUAUGACAUUUGAUCAAAAUUAGUCUAAUUGGUGUCUAAUCAUCUCUUACAAGUGCGAGUGGAGGCAGAAGGACGCAGAAGAAAGAGGAGGAGAUGGUGUUUGUGUUUGCGUGCCCGUAUCACAAACCUCAUAUAUCUUCUAUUGUUUGCUGAAUGAGGCUUGACAUGUCAGCUUAUUGCCUCUGUAAAAGUUCACUUAUAAUCACUCUCCAUCCCCCAACGGAGAACCGAGCACAGUUCUUUGGCCCUCCAUCCACCCCUCGCCUGGCCCCCAGUGUGGGUUGUUGAGCCGCAUCAGCAACACAUCACUGCCCCUCAAUUCAGGUACAAACUGGAGGAGUUUGGCGGAUCCCUGAAGUGGACUCCCCUCUAACUCCUCUAACCCACCGAGACAUCACUUAAAAAUCAAUUAUGCCAGUCCAGUCUCUUCCUCCCCAACUGUCGUCAUUUCCUAAACAGGUGGCCUUAACACUUUUAGAAGGAUUUAGAAAACACAGUAUUUGUUUCUGACCUUUAACGUUUCAUGAGCCUCUACAUCCUUAUUCUUACAAACCAAAACGCUCAUAAACAUAAGACACAGUAUACACAUUUAGCUGCAACAUAUUCCAGUAAAAGCACAAAUAGAGAACAUAAUUUUAUUUUGUAGUCUUUAGAUUAAAUGCAGACCCCACCAUUAGGUUUACUGCAUCCACCGGCACGUGACAUACCGUCUGUAAUUCACUGACCACCUAAGACACCUGCAGGUGGGAAUGACAGUUUUCAUGUCACACACCAAUGCAAAGUGACAACCACUUGCAGCCUGAAAAGAUUCCCUGAUAUCGCCAUAUAUCACCUCCAUGUUGUUUACAUUUGGAGACACGUCCCUUCCAUCAUUAGUGUACCCAUGAAGUGCUCUGGUCCCCAGUGUGGAGCAAUGUGACACGGAGCAGCAUCGCUGGAGGAGGCCGUGUGCUCACUCUUCCAGGUAGAUGGGUAGAUUUGGAGACAGACAGAGAAGGAGAAGUGUAAUGGGUGCAUAUGAAAAGCGUCGCCCGGGGGUUUACAUAUGAUGCUCACCUUGCCCCCCUCUCUCCCUCAGACUUGCAUUUUUGCCAGUGACUUUGUGCAAACACUGCGUUUUCUACUUGAAUGCAGUUGUGACUUGCGAAAAGAUAACACUGGAGCCACUUUAAUAUCUACGCAGGAUGAGCAUGUACACCCAUAAUGCAACCCCAGUGGGCCUAUAAAACUAUAAACUCAUACAUCAGCGCAAAGAAUUUCUCAUGAAAAUAUGAGUGUUUUCGAUUGGACCGUCAAGGCUGGUUAAGCGCCGCGACUUUCACAGUAGAGAGGAGCUGUGGAGAUGGCCCUUUGGCCCGGUGUCACAGGAGCUGACAAGCCGCAAUUAGUCUGGCUGACACACCGCUCUAUAAAGCUUUGUAAUGUGGGAGGCAUGAAUCCUUCAUAGAGCAUGCGUAAAUUGGUGAGGUCCCUCAGCUCUUUGGCCAUGCAGCCUCUUGUAACCCGGGUUCAGAUGCUGCUGGGCUGGCCGAGUGACCUCCUCUAUUUUAACAUUUAAAGUGGUGAAACAGCCUUGUAUUUAUAAGAAAGUGAUACUUGGAGAGAUAUUAAAGUGGUGGGUUUGUCCAUAUAGGCUACAGAAGCAGAUGAGUAAGUACAGCAGUGCCAUUCUCCAUAUGGAAGUCUUCAGAAAGGAGUUGGAACAGAACAUUAACAUAUAGAUCAGUUAUAAAAGAAGCAAUAAAAUCACCUUUGAGUGGCCUAGAUGUGGAGAAAAAAAAUCACCUGAUUGCACAAUGAAACAGCUGUUAGUUUAUACAGUGAAUGAUUCUAGAGGAUAUGUCUUUCACAGUCUGUGUUUUUACACAUUUUCCUGAUGUCUAUUCUGUGGUAAGAGCUGGUUACAACACAAAGCAAGUAUGGUGGAGUCAGAUCCUUUAACACCAAACAAAGACACAUAUCCAUUACAAGGCAACCAACAUGCUUAUAGUACAUACCUAUUGAUUGUGCGUAUAGCUCUGUUACGCAUUGAUUACAACAUUAGUUAAAAUAAUAUCAUAAUAUAUAGUCUAAUUGUAUUAAAGUAGGUCUAUAGAGAGAGUGGUGAAAGUGUGUAACGUGCAGUAUAGAUCACCUCCCUCAGAAUGUUGCUCUGGUUAUCUCUGUCUUCAUGUCUUCUCUCUCAGCGGAUAAAUGCCUUCAUUAAAUGCAUUUUGUAAUCGACUAACGUGAGUGGUCCAUACAGAUCCAUAUCGAGUAAAUGUACCCCCUUCUCCCCUCUUCUGCCUGGUGUGUGUUUGUUUUUGUGUAGCUGUGAGAAGGUGAUCCUCGUGGUGUCAUCCAGGAUUUAAUAACUGUCUCAGGUUUGGUUUUCUGGGGUGUUUGUAUGGCCUGCAAUGAACCAAACCCAAACCCUCUCUCUCUCUCUCUCUCUCUCUCUCUCUCUCUCUCUCUCUCUCUCUCUCUCUCUCUCUCUCUCUCGCCCCCUCCCCUUCUUAACUGCAGCUUUUGACAUUACUCCACUCGAUUGCCCGUUUACCCCCAAGUCAAGUUUGCAACUGCCAUGAAGUGUAAAAGAGGUGGGCCAUGUCAUAUCCGCUCAGUGUGCAGGAAUUGUUGGCCUGCACGGUUGCAGUCAUUGUUGAGGAGAACAAUUCCUG